rnacentral:misc_RNA from 1 species
GAAAUGCGAUAAGUAAUGUGAAUUGCAGAAUUCAGUGAAUCAUCGAAUCUUUGAACGCAUCUUGCGCUCCUUGGUAUUCCUUGGAGCAUGCCUGUUUGAGUAUCAUGAAAUCUUCAAAGUAAAUCUUUUGUUAACUCAAUUGGCUUCUACUUUGGUAUUGGAGGUCUUUGCAGCUUCACACCUGCUCCUCUUUGUUCAUUAGCUGGAUCUCAGUGUUAUGCUUGGUUCCACUCGGCGUGAUAAGUUAUCUAUCGCUGAGGACACUGUGAAAGGUGGCCAAGGUAAAUGCAGAUGAACCGCUUCUAAUAGUCCAUUGACUUGGACAAUACUUUUAUGAUCUGAUCUCAAAUCAGGUAGGACUACCCGCUGAACUUAAGC